UAAGUUACAAUGACAUCAUUAGGGUGGGCUCUAAUCCAAUAUAACUGGUGUCAUUAUAAAAGGAGAAAAUUUCAACACAGAUGUGUGGACACACAAGGGAAAGUCCAUGUGAGGACACAGCAAGAAUGCAGCUAUUUAUAAGCAAAGAGGGGUCUCCAGGGAAAUCAACCCCCUGACACCAGGAUCUCCAGUUUUUAAGUUUUAUUUGCUCUUUUGUAUAGUCUCUUCACUCAGUGACUCAAAUGGAAGACAACUGUGACAAACUUUUUCCCAGACCUGGUGUAUGCAACUUAAUCCAAGACCGACCCUGAAGUGGACCUGAUGCCCAACCACAGAUUCAGGCUGGUGUCGGGGGAGGAACCCUGCUGCAACCUCUCCAAGAAAGCCAAGAUCUGUCUGGGCAUCCUGUGUGUCCUGCUCAUGUUGGCGAUCAUCGCGGUGGUGGUCGGUGUUCUGAUGUGGCUAAAGGCACCCAAGCACAAGGAGUGGGACGGGAAGGGCACCACUCCGCAUUUUCCCGAGAUCGUCCUGGGAAGAUGCUACACAUUCACUCAAGUCCUGCGGCCUGAGCUGAGGUGAGUUGGCGUCUGUGGCGCAG